rnacentral:rRNA from 1 species
UACGAAGGGUGCAAGCGUUAAUCGGAAUUACUGGGCGUAAAGGGUGCGUAGGCGGUUGUUUAAGUCUGUCGUGAAAUCCCCGGGCUCAACCUGGGAAUGGCGAUGGAUACUGGGCAGCUAGAGUGUGUCAGAGGAUGGUGGAAUUCCCGGUGUAGCGGUGGAAUGCGUAGAGAUCGGGAGGAACAUCAGUGGCGAAGGCGGCCAUCUGGGACAACACUGACGCUGAAGCACGAAAGCGUGGGGAGCAAACAGG